rnacentral:rRNA from 1 species
CGCGUAGGCGGCUGGAUAAGUCAGAUGUGAAAUCCCACGGCUUAACUGUGGAAGUGCAUUUGAGACUGUCCGGCUUGAGUAUCGGAGGGGAGUGUGGAAUUCCCGGUGUAGAGGUGAAAUUCGUAGAGAUCGGGAGGAACACCGGUGGCGAAGGCGACACUCUGGACGCAUACUGACGCUGAGGCGCGAAAGCGUGGGGAGCAAACA